UACGUAGGGCGCGAGCGUUGUCCGGAAUUAUUGGGCGUAAAGAGCUCGUAGGCGGUCUGUUGCGUCCGCUGUGAAAACUCGGGGCUUAACCCCGAGCCUGCAGUGGAUACGGGCAGACCAGAGGUAGGUAGGGGAGAAUGGAAUUCCCGGUGUAGCGGUGAAAUGCGCAGAUAUCGGGAGGAACACCGGUGGCGAAGGCGGUUCUCUGGGCCUUACCUGACGCUGAGGAGCGAAAGCGUGGGGAGCGAACAGG
rnacentral:rRNA from 1 species